AGCUUAAUAUACAUGGCAUAGGCCUAUAUAGCAUAUUGUAAACUCAUCGGUAUCAGAAGAGGUUGAAUAUUGGGAAGAAAAAGCAAUCGACUCAUUCAUUCUACACAAACGUGCCAAACAAUUUGCAGAUACCGAAAAAGAAUCAAAACUCAAGACGACGAAUCUCAAAGCAAAAAUCUUGCAAAUUUCUUCAGAGAUCGCCAACUUCAACUUUUUAAAGAUACUGAAGAAAGUAUAUAUUACGACCAGUCUCAAACCUGAUUUGAAAUUCUUGUCAUGCUCGUUUGUUAUCAUGGGCUGACAUGUUGUUGAGAAGAUCGUCAAAUACGUCAUCCACUUUGAAAAGACAAAACUCCCUAAUAUUCGAAUAUCUGAGGAGACCGGCGACGAUAACCGACUAAGGCAAAGAAAAGUCGUUAAUAUUCAGGUUUCAAGAAGACCACGGCGACAUCAAGCGGCUAAGGUUAGAUAAAUACAUUGCUCAGUCUUUCAUUCAUAGUGGAUAAGUUUCCAGAAUCUUAGAACAUGAUUUUCGAGAUAUAAUUUUACGUCAUUGCUGGAAACUAGACUUUUAAAACAGCCCCCUAAUGCUAGAUAAAGACUCACUGGAAUUCGGAAUGCCCGUUUUGAUCGAUGGGCCCAUUUCCUACUCAAAUUGCUUUUAUAUAUUCGAAUAUAAUACUCAAUGUUUUCAUUUUUUUCAGGUCAACCGACGAAAAGACGGUUAGACAGUUUAGGCUAAGUUCAGUUUAUGUUAGUUAGUAGUACGACCAGUUCGUGCAUGUUUGAGCCAGGGCCGAAGAUGUUAGAUUUGACUCUUCGCUAGAGGAUUCUUUAUUUGUGCGGUAUUAUGAAUACAUUCGUCUGUCAAUUUAUUAGCUAGUCAGCAAGGAAUUACUAGAUUAGGGAUCGACAGACGAAUUUGGAGCUAGGUGUUUAAAUGGCAGUUAGUAAGACUGUCUGGUAGGGAAGCAACCCAGUCCGGCGGGUAAUAUAUUUUAAAAAACAAUUUUUUUCCGUAAUGAUAAUCUGCUCUUCAUGGGCGUGCACAUAGUGCAUAGAUUGAUAAGUAUAAAUUGAUAUUGGCAAUUGGCCAUAAAUAAUAAUUGAGAUAGUGCAAACUAACCAUGUUUUUCUUUUAAUAAUGCCGAAACCUUUCUAUGAUCAAUUGAUUAUGUAACUUGUGUUUUGAACUGCGAAUUUGCAGCAGAACUGGUUCUUCAAAUUUGACCGACCAAACCUAAAGAAGGGUUUCGGCUACGCUGAGCAAUUUAUUGUGAGCAAUUUAUUAUGUACAUUAUCCCCUUUAGCUUUGUACCACCCAAUCAAUUUAUACCCACAAUGCUGCGUCAAAGAAACCUUUGGGAAUCGACUCAUUUCUAAGAAAUUUUGCUUUCGAUGAGCAAUACUUAACUUAUAUAAGUCGUUUCAGCGUUAUUAAUGUCCUCCAAUGUAAACCUAACUGCGGGUGCAAGCUCAUAAGCGCCAGAGCUGCCGCUUGGGCACUUAGUGCCAUAACGGCCGUCUCACAAAUUGUGCAAACAAACCUCAACGAAACUAACACCCAACACUCUGAGGUGUUCUUGGGUUAUACAAAUGGGUUUUUUCACUUCUUGCCAUAAUAUUCCAACUGGCAAGUUUGAACAUAUUAAACUGUUUGUUUUUUCAGGUGCUGGUAGAAUUGGAUGAUCUGUACGGAGAACCGGGAGAUAACCCCAUUACCGUACGCAAAUUGGUUUCACAAUAGUACAUGGUUUUCCGAUUGACAACUUCUCAAGCCGCAAAGUGACAGAUUUGAGCGAAGUCUGUGCAACGAGACAUGCGAUGGUAUGGCCAAAUUUUAUGUAAAUAAACGGUAACACUCUGUAUCAUCCCAUUUCAUGUUUGUUGACGCCACACAUAACUGUUCACUUUCCGGCUUACGACUUUUGGCAGGAACUGCUACAUGGAGAAUAUCACCGACGAUUUUGACAUCGGGUUUCAUCUCUUCUCCAUCUAGCAAAGUUAUAUCGUCCAAGCAAACCUCUUCGUAUUAACCACGAACUGUUUUCGGAACGUGCGCUAGCCCUUUAUGAUUCAAUUCAGUUAAUAUGGCAGACAUUCUCUUAUUUAAUUUAUACCCUGUUAUAUAAAACAAAACAAUUUAUUUUCAUAGAAUUUUAAUGUUAUUCUAACAUGUGUGAUGUUUAGCUUACAUACUUUGGUUGUUUGAUAGAUAUGACAAUAGACCAAAAAGGUAAUAAAAAACAUUUGACCAUUUUUGUUAACAUAUAAUGAAAUUUAAAGUUCGCCUAAAAAGCAAUUCAAUACAUUAUAGCGGUCAUCCUAUAUCUUUUAAACGCUAUCUGCAGCGAAAAAAACGGGAAUUAAUAAUAUCCGACUGCGACUAUAUUUCAAAAAAACAAAUAUCAAUUUAAAAGCGACAUAUCAACAACAGCAAAAACAGACGCGGACAUCGAUAAAUCUUAUCAGGCUUUCCAGACAUAAGUGUCGUGUUAAUUUAUAAUGCUUAAAUAAAGCAAGCACGCAAAUUAUACAAGUUAACUUAAUAUUCUAUUAGAGUACAUCCAGCGAGAGACAUGUUUUCGCGACCAGCUUUACUAUCCGAAUGUCCUUCAAGAAUGUCCGCAGCGCAACGUGCUUGACAAUGACGUCAUAGCUCUUGAUCACAACAUUCAGAUUGCCAAUAAAACCUCUCAAGAGGCCCGCAAUAGGCAAAAAUCACUAGACCAUGACUGGGGGCUAGCAGAAAAAAUAUUCAUCUAAAAAUCAUGCAACUAACUUUUCCGACCGUGCGAAUGCCUUCAGAUUCCCAAUAACACCUCUCAGAGGCCCGCAAUAGGCAAAAAGCACUAGACCAUGACUAAGGGCUGGCAGAAAAAAAAAUUCAUCUAAAAAUCAUGCAACUAACUUUUCCGACCGUGCGAAUGCAUUCAGAUUCCCAAUAAGACCCCUCAGAGGCCCGCAAUAAGCCAAAAUCACUAGACCAUGACUGGGGGUUAUCAGAUAAAAAAAAAAUUUUCAACUAUUUUUUUCGACCGUGCCCAUGCCUCCAGAUUCCCAAUAAGACCUCUCGGAGGCCCGCAAUAGGCAAAAAUCAUUACUGAAGAUAAUUUGGAAGAUUUAAUAUUUUAUUUCAAAUCGUACACAAUACCAAAUAAAACAGUUGAAAUGAAACAUUUAUAUGAAAAUGUAUAAGAUGUUGAUGGCUGUUGAUGGAAUUUAUUCUUCUUCCGCUUCUUACGGCACACUCUCUGUGGACACAUUCUCUGUGGCGACAAGUUCAUGGUAUUCCGAUUCCGGGAAAUUUUGUCCAAUGUAUGUUGAUGGUUCAUCGGUUCUUUUUUUUUUUUUUAUGGGGGAUUCACAUUCUUCCGGCACGGUCUCUGUGGUUACAUGUGUGGCGACAGAUUCGUGUCCGAAUUCCAGUAAUUUUGAUCCCAUUAUUACCAAAUCGCUUAUAUGCAGUUUGAAUUUGCAUGUGCCCGUGUCGGAAAAACGUUUCUCGGGCCGAAACCAACCUAAUAUCCGGUAGCCUUGUGUUGACGUAGUGACAUUUUUAAGAAUCCCAACAUUUUUCGGUAAUCGAUUGUUUUCGCAGGCGAUACAUUCAGCAACUGCCGUUUGAAAACGGCCAACGUCAGUUUCCUGCUGCUGUAGGGCUCCCAUUUAACUUGCAUGCCGGGUAUAUGUAUUUUGAUUUGAGCCACCAGCAUUCUACUCUCGACAUAACUGGCUGGACACUUGGACAGUCAAUUCCAUAUCGGCCAUCGCAAUAAUUAUGUAUACAUCUUUCGAUGAAAUUUGAACUUGUCACUUUUAUGUUUUCAGCAUUAAAUCUGAAUGCAGUCAUGUCUGUUGAGGAUAAUUGCCCAACAGCUAUAUCGGAUAUAAUCGGGACUGGAGGGGCGCGAGCGGGCAAAAUUGGAUGAUUAGUGGUUAUCACCGGUAUUCCUCUCCACUCAUUCUCGCAGGUCGGAUCCACUACAACAAUAUGCUGUCCUAUCUGCUACAUGUUCUCCGUCCAUGUUAAUACCAACAAUGAGGACAGCCAUUUUCAGGCCGAACCUCAAAUGCAACAUUCGGUAAUAAUUUACCGAUAUAUUACCAGUUUUUUUGCCCCUUGGCUGUACCAUAGCCGUUGACAAUGUUUUGCUUGGCUUCUUUGCAUGGAGCAACUCCCCUAUUAUUUUGAACCCUUCCUCCAUGGGCUCAUCACAUUUCUCUAUAUCUGCUAUAUGCUUUUCUUUUUACUCGGUAAUCGGUAUCAAUGAUACGCUGUAGAUAUGCAAAAUUAUGCAUAUCUAAUUCCCUAAUUAGUAUAGACAUACCGGUAGUUGAGAUCUAUAAGUACAAAUAAACAUUUUCAUUAACGUACUACGAGAGAUGCAUUAGGGGAUGCUAAAGCUAAAAUCAUUCAAAACAUUGAUCGAUACCAAUGCUUACCUACCCAUUGUAAUUCGCGGACCAGUGACAUUAAAUAUAAUGACGUCACGAACUGACGUUUUAUUAUAAAAAGCAAUGAAUACCACCAAAUUAUACAAUACAGCGGUCACCCUUCAUCUUUUAAACGCUAUCUGCAGCGAUAAAAUCGGGAAUUAAUAAUAUCCGAAUGCUACUGUAUUAGAAAAUAACAUAUAUCAAUUUAAAAGCGACGUAACAUAUAUCAACAAUAGCAAAAAGAGACGCGGUCAUCGAUAAAUCUUAACCAGACUGUCCAGACGUAAGCGUCGUGUUAAUUUAUAAUGCUUAAAUAAAGCAAGCACGAAAAUUAUACAAGUUAACUAAAUAUCCUAUUAGAGUACACCCAGCGAGAGACAUGUUUUCGCGACCAGCUUCACUAUCCGAAUGUCCUUCAAGAAUGUCCGCAGCGCAACGUGCUUGACAAUGAUGUCAUAGCUCUUGAUCACCAUAUAAUGACAAUUCACAAACACAACAUUUCCCUCAAAAACAUAGUUAUUCAAAUAAGUUGGUUGUCGUCUACUGCGCCGAGGUCUUGUAUUAACAGGAGAGAAAAAAUCCUGCAAAAAAAACAUUAAUUAACUAAUUUGUCACAUCGUCUCCUUUACUUCGCUUUCGAGGCGCGCCACUUUCGAACUCACUGGAGUGUCUGGGAGUGGAAUUCCCCUUUUAACGGUGUCUAAACUUUCAAUUAAUUAUCCUCUUCGAGAAUUGAGCAACACAUCGCCUAAAUACCCCUUCAAAGGUCCCCGAAUUAUUAAAAAAAAAAACAAAGCCCAAGUGGGCGGGGAUUCACACGCUUUUUCUCGCCACUGUGGACGACUCAUCUCGGUCUUCGCUUAGCAUAGCCUAUAGUCAGCCAAAAGUAAAUAAACAUACCAUUCGUAGUUUUUAUUAGUUAUUUCUUUGAUUUUUCCCUUCUACGUGUGAAAUACACUCUUUUGCAACUAUAAAAUAAAUAAAGAAGGUAAUAUAUACAAUAAUUUGAUUCCGAUGUCGACUGAACUGUGAAAAUGGUCAGUGUCGCUUCAGAAUAUUGAUUACGAGAAUCUUGGCCGACUAUCAAUACCGUUCUGACUCAGAAACACUGACGUAUGGCGCAUCAUACUAUUAAUGCCGUCUUUACUUGAAACUAUGAUCAGUGGAUUAAGGCAUUAACAGUGAUUUCUCAUCUUGCGUACAUGCUUACUUUGUGAAGAUUGUUGUAAUACAAGACACGAGCUAUUAUUAGUUAAUGUGCUAUAUGUAAAUGGACUCUUGGUUGGUUUUGUAGAACUCUGUAUUGUCAAUAUUAUGUGAAAUUUAAUGUUACGUAUUUUGAAUCUGUACGAUAUUUGAUUUUUAAGCAGAGUGCAAAUACCUAUGUUUUUGCUUUAUGGUUAACGCUUUACCAUUUUUGUGGUUCCGCUGUUGUUCAAAAUUGCUGUAGGGUUGGGGUGGGCUUUGUACACGGAGCUGGAUCGUAAUAUCCAGCUCUGUGUAUGGUUUACAGCAAUUUUUCUGCCUAUUGGUUAACCUUUGAAAUAAUUACAUUAGCGAUCGUGUAUAUUUUUGUGCCAACGUUUUGCAUUCUUUUAAUAUUAUGGGAAAUUAAUUUUAUAUUUCUUUAAUCUAUAAUGCGAAAACGAUAAUUUAGCUUUAUGUUUUUCAUUGUACAAUUUUAAGUUUUCGUAAUUUUCAAAAUUGCUGUCGGGUGGUGGUGGGCUUUCUACCCGAAGCUAGAUUGUAAUAUUCAGCUCUGUGUAUGAUUUACAGCAAUUUUAUUUGUCUAUCGAUCCACGUUUACCUUCGAAAUAGUUAAAAGCAACGACUAUGUGGGUUUAAUCCGAUAAAUUAUUUCAAUUUAUAUUUUUGAUAAUCUUUGCUUUAGCGAUCGUUCAUAUUUCGUGCUGUUUAUUGAUUGGUAUGGUAUUAUCUAGAUUGCGUACUUCCUUAAUCUUUAAUCAUAGCGUGGCAGUCAUUUCUUUAAUUAUCCAAGUUAUGAAUUUUUCGCUAUGAGUAAUAAAACUACGUUGUGUUGGAAUGAUACAAUUAUUCUUUUGUUUCAUCGCAUUGGAUGUAGGGAUGAGUUGGGCUUUUGUUUUAUACACACAGCUUGAAACAGUAGUAUACGGUGUAAAUACAUGAAAAGUUGGCGACUUA